rnacentral:rRNA from 1 species
GAUGAACGCUAGCUACAGGCUUAACACAUGCAAGUCGAGGGGAAACGGCAUUGAGUGCUUGCACUCUUUGGACGUCGACCGGCGCACGGGUGAGUAACGCGUAUCCAACCUUCCCAUUACUGUGGGAUAACCUGCCGAAAGGCAGACUAAUACCGCAUAGUCUUCGAUGACGGCAUCAGAUUUGAAGUAAAGAUUUAUCGGUAAUGGAUGGGGAUGCGUCUGAUUAGCUUGUUGGCGGGGUAACGGCCCACCAAGGCUACGAUCAGUAGGGGUUCUGAGAGGAAGGUCCCCCACAUUGGAACUGAGACACGGUCCAAACUCCUACGGGAGGCAGCAGUGAGGAAUAUUGGUCAAUGGACGGAAGUCUGAACCAGCCAAGUAGCGUGCAGGAUGACGGCCCUAUGGGUUGUAAACUGCUUUUGUAUGGGGAUAAAGUUAGGGACGUGUCCCUAUUUGCAGGUACCAUACGAAUAAGGACCGGCUAAGUCCGUG